rnacentral:rRNA from 1 species
GCCAUGCAUGUCUAAGUACAAACCCUUUGUACGGUGAAACCGCGAAUGGCUCAUUAAAUCAGUUAUUGUUUAUUUGAUGGUUCCUUUUACAUGGAUAACCGUGGCAAUUCUAGGGCUAAUACAUGCACAAAAGGUCUGUUACAGGACCCGCUUUUAUUAGACCAAACCUGCAGGUGUUUCGGCACCUUCCUAGGUGACUCUGGAUAAUUCCGCUGAUCGCAUAGUCUCGCACUGGCGAUGCAUCAUUCAAAUUUCUGCCUUAUCAACUUUCGAUGGUAAGAUAUGGGCUUACCAUGGUUGUAACGGGUAACGGGGAAUUAGGGUUCGAUUCCGGAGAGGGAGCCUGAGAAACGGCUACCACAUCCAAGGAAGGCAGCAGGCGCGCAAAUUACCCACUCCCGGCACGGGGAGGUAGUGACGAAAAAUAACAAUACGGGACUCUUUCGAGGCCCCGUAAUUGGAAUGAGUACACUUUAAAUCCUUUAACGAGGAUCUAUUGGAGGGCAAGUCUGGUGCCAGCAGCCGCGGUAAUUCCAGCUCCAAUAGCGUAUAUUAAAGUUGUUGCAGUUAAAAAGCUCGUAGUUGGAUCUCGAGAGUCUGGCGCUUGUUCUCGCCAACAGUGCGUAGCAACGUAGCGUUCGACCUUUGUCUCCACAUUAUAGCGUUUUGUCCUUCGUUGGCCAGAGCGUUGGGGUGUGGACGUUUACUUUGAAGAAAUUAGAGUGUUCAAAGCAAGCAUUUUCGCUCGAAUAAUGGUGCAUGGAAUAAUGGAAUAUGACCGUCGUCUUAUUUUGUUGGUUUGAAAGAUCUACGGUAAUGAUUAAGAGGGACGGACGGGGGCGUUCGUAUUAAGCCGUUAGAGGUGAAAUUCUUGGAUCGGCUUAAGACGCACUACAGCGAAAGCAUUCGCCAAGAACGUUUUCAUUAAUCAAGAACGAAAGUUGGAGGCUCGAAGACGAUCAGAUACCGUCGUAGUUCCAACUGUAAACGAUGCCAACUAGCGAUCAGGGAGCGUUAUUUGUUGACUUCCCUGGCAGCUUCCGGGAAACCAAAGUUUUUGGGUUCCGGGGGAAGUAUGGUUGCAAAGCUGAAACUUAAAGGAAUUGACGGAAGGGCACCACCAGGAGUGGAGCCUGCGGCUUAAUUUGACUCAACACGGGAAAACUCACCCGGCCCGGACACUGGUAGGAUUGACAGAUUGAGGGCUCUUUCUUGAUUCAGUGGGUGGUGGUGCAUGGCCGUUCUUAGUUGGUGGAGCGAUUUGUCUGGUUAAUUCCGAUAACGAACGAGACUCUGGCUUGCUAACUAGUUCGCCGAUUUUACGCCUUCGGGCUUCGUCGGUGCAACUUCUUAGAGGGACUAAUGGCGCACAGCCAUACGAGAUUGAGCAAUAACAGGUCUGUGAUGCCCUUAGAUGUUCGGGGCCGCACGCGCGCUACAAUGAGGCGGGCAACAAGCAUUGACCUUCUCCGAAAGGAGCGGGAAAUCUUUUGAAACCGUCUCGUGCUAGGGAUAGGGAAUUGUAAUUAUCUCCCUUGAACGAGGAAUUCCUAGUAAGCGCAAGUCAUAAGCUUGCGUUGAUUACGUCCCUGCCCUUUGUACACACCGCCCGUCGCUACUACCGAUUGAACGAUUUAGUGAGACAUUCGGACCGCGCCACAUCGUCCCGCAAGGGUCUAAGUGGCUGCGAGAAGAAGUUCAAACUUGACCGUUUAGAGGAAGUAAAAGUCGUAACAAGGUUU